AAAAACUUAGUUAAAAAAUAACAUUAACUUGUCAAGUUAAAAUUAUUAUUCAAGUAAUAGUUUUUG
rnacentral:tRNA from 1 species